GNGACUUUAGAUGGAUGAUGGGCUCAGU
rnacentral:piRNA from 1 species